rnacentral:lncRNA from 1 species
UUUGGAUGCAUGCCUAUAUUAAUGAGUUAAUAGUAUGCAUAUGUAAUCAGCCAGCACUUGGUAUCAAUCUUCCGAUCUAGAACCGACUGCCUGGAACCCCUUCCUGAUUGCUUACCUAGCCUUGCUCUCGAGUACUCAUCUUCAUCAUUUUAUGCUUCCGCUUCGUCUACCGCAUCAUAAGGGAAGUGAAAAUGAUACCUCGAAGCAUGUGGAGACAAUUUGCCAAUUCAUCCUCAGCUAGGGACAAGGA